rnacentral:ncRNA from 1 species
GACAGGUUUGAUCCUAGCCUUUUUAUUAAUUAUUAGUAAAAUUACACAUGCAAGCAUCCGCGCCCCCGUGAAAACGCCCUUCAAGUUAACAACAACUACAAAGGAGCGGGUAUCAAGCACACCAAUCAGGUAGCUCACAACACCUCGCCCAGCCACACCCCCACGGGUUACAGCAGUGAUAAAAAUUUAGCAAUGAACGAAAGUUUGACUAAGUUAUACUAGUUUAGGACCGGUAAAUUUCGUGCCAGCCACCGCGGCCAUACGAUUGAUCCAAGUAAAUAAAAUUCGGCAUAAAGCGUGUUUAAGAGUAAGUAACAAAUAAAAUUAAACCCUAUCUAAACUGUAAAAAGCCAUAGAUAAAAGUAAAAUAAACUACGAAAGUGACUUUAUUAAUAAUCUGAAUUCACGACAGUUGAGACCCAAACUGGGAUUAGAUACCCCACUAUGCCCAACCGUAAACCCAAGCAGUUGACCAAAUGAAACUGCUCGCCAGAGUACUACCAGCAACAGCCCAAAACUCAAAGGAUUUGGCGGUGCUUCACAUCCCCCUAGAGGAGUCUGUUCUAUAAUCGAUAAACCCCGAUAUACCUUACCAUCCCUUGCCAACUCAGCCUGUAUACCGCCAUCUUCAGCAAACCCCUCCAGGGGACAAAAGUAAGCGCAAGAAUCCACAUAAAAACGUUAGGUCAAGGUGCAGCUUAUGAGAUGGAAGAAAUGGACUACAUUUUCUUAUCCAGAAUACCUACCCACGACAACCUUUAUGAAAACUAAAGGUCAAAGGAGGAUUUAGCAGUAAAUUAAGAAUAGAGAGCUCAAUUGAAAAAGGCCAUGAAGCACGCACACACCGCCCGUCACCCUCCUCAAAUAACACCACAGACAAACCUUUAUCAGCUCUGUAAAAACUAAUCUAGAGGAGACAAGUCGUAACAAGGUAAGUGUACUAGAAAGUGCACUUGGACAUAUU